rnacentral:lncRNA from 1 species
CAUGCCUCUCAGAGCCUCCCUGCCUCUGUGCCCACAACCCAUGGGGGUGCCAAACGAAGGGAACAGACAUGAAUUCAUAUUCCCAAGAUCCAAAAUACUUACGGGAGGCAUCAAGGAGGUAAGACCAGCAUGUGGAAGGUAAUGGAAAAAUCCAGUAUAAUCAUCCAGAAAGCCCCAGUUGGUAUCAGUGGAUGUGAUGAGAAAAAGACAGAUGCCAGUAACAUCACGAGGAAAAAAUUAACAGAAUUUGGUGAUGGACCGAAUGUGGGAUGUGCAGAAGAAACACAAAAAUGAUGCUGAAGUUUCAAGCCUGAGUGGCAUCAUUAACCUGAAUUUCAAUUCUCUCAUCUAUAAAGUGGAAAUCAAAAAUAUUUUUCUCAGGCCAGGCAUGGUGUGGGGGCGUGCGCCUGUCUCCCAGCUACUUGGAAGGCUGAGGCAGGAGAAUCGCUUGAACCCGGGAGGUGGGGGUUGCAGUGAGCUGAGAUCGCACCACUGCACACCAACGUGGGCGACAGAGCAAGACUCCGUCUCGACAAAAACCCAAAAACCAAAAAAAAAACCUUGUUACUCACCGUAGUAAAAACAGAAUUCCUUAAAUUUUAAUUAAUUAAUAUUCUAUUUUUGAGACAGGGUCUCACUCUGUGGCCGAAGCUGGAGUGCAGUGGUACAAUCACAGGCUCACCGGAGCUUAGACUUCCCGGGCUCAAGUGAUUCUCCUGUCUCAGCCUUAGCUAGGAUUACAGGUGUGUGCCACCAUGGCUGGCUACUUUUUAAAUUUCUGUAGAGAUGGGGUCUCCCUACGUUGCCCAGGCUGGUCUCAACUUUGGGCUCAAGCGAUCCUUCUGCCUUGGCCUCCUAAAGUGCUGGGAUUACAGACAUGAGCUACUGUGCCUGGCCAAAUUUUAAUUUAAAUGCCACGUGUCCGCACACACAAAGACUGAGAAAACACACGAUGGUGUUCAGUGUGCAUCAUAUAACAAUGAGCUGUUUUUCUUACAUAACUGACAAGAACUCUGCCUUCACUCCGGUCAAGGAUUUGAGAGCAUCUCCUGUAAUACUAAAUUGCCUAGACAGAAAAAUGCAUUCAGUCACUCUCUCCCCAUCUUUUCA